rnacentral:rRNA from 1 species
CCUACGGGAGGCUGCAGUCGAGAAUCUUCGGCAAUGAGCGCAAGCUUGACCGAGCGACGCCGCGUGCGGGAUGAAGGCUUUCGGGUUGUAAACCGCUGUCAGUGGGGAGGAAAUUCUUGGGGGUACUCCCCCUUGAUUGACCGAUCCGCAGAGGAAGGACGGGCUAAGUUCGUGCCAGCAGCCGCGGUAAGACGAACCGUCCGAACGUUAUUCGGAAUCACUGGGCUUAAAGAGUGCGUAGGCGGCUUAUCAGGCGGGGUGUGAAAUCCCUCGGCCCAACCGAGGAAUAGCGCUCCGAACCGAUAGGCUUGAGGAGGAUAGAGGUAAGCGGAACAGAUGGUGGAGCGGUGAAAUGCGUUGAUAUCAUCUGGAACACCUGUGGCGAAAGCGGCUUACUGGGUCCUUUCUGACGCUGAGGCACGAAAGCCAGGGUAGCGAACGGGAUUAGAUACCCGGGUAGUC